CUCACGCCAUCAGAUGUGCCCAGAUGGGAUUAGCUAGUAGGUGGGGUAAUGGCUCACCUAGGCGACGAUCCCUAGCUGGGCUGAGAGGAUGACCAGCCACACUGGAACUGAGACAGGAUCCACACUUCUACGGGAGGCAGCAGUGGGGAAUAUUGCACAAUGGGCGCAAGCCUGAUGCAGCCAUGCCGCGUGUGUGAAGAAGGCCUUAGGGUUGUAAAGCACUUUCAGCGAGGAGGAAGGG
rnacentral:rRNA from 1 species